rnacentral:lncRNA from 1 species
CAAGACGGUAGCGGCAGGCCCUGUGCACCGCCCCUCCCUGUGCCUCUGUGAGCAUGCGCGUGCGCUGGAGCCUCGGGCCGUCACAGCCAUGUGACGCCGGCACAGACUCACCUGCAUGAGGGCAGCGCUGCCCGCUUCCCACGAGGAGGACCUGAGACCGUGGAGGUCCAAGCCCUGGCUGGAGCAGACAACAAGAAAGGCCAAAUGGAAGCAGGAUAUCAGAGCGAGAUGUGGAGGCGAUGCGUGAAGUCUCACACAGGGUGUGAUGGUGCCAGUUCCUGCAGUUAUGAGCACAGAAGACCGAGUACAGACCACCAGCAGCCCGCAAGUUUGGGCCGUGGGACCCCUACUGCAUCCGAGUGAAGUCCACAGCCUCGGGGGCACCAGGGCGGGCUUGGCGCACGGGACGCCCCACAGCCGCCAGCUCAGAGUGUGUGCCCGGGCUGCUCCGGCCCCGUGGCUUCCCUUGAGUCAGACCUGAAGAAAGGGUCCCUGACAGACCCUCCCUCUAGGCCACAAACACCUGGGUAGCACUUCCGCUCAGACCUCCAGGACCCGGAAGCCUUGGCCCACGGUGUAGAAUAUCAGGUCAACUGGAGCAGGUUCUGCUGAGGGUUAGAAUUAAAUGAGAGCACAUCUUGCUGCAGAACAACGGACCGGACGGAGAGCUCUGCCGACCUUUCCCCAGGAGCACAGUGCCCUGCUUGGGAAGUGGGGUGCAGGGCCCCCCCAGCCUGGGACCCAGGCCUGACCCUGCCAUCCAGGCCGUGGCCACAGCCUCCCGGCUCCUGCCCGCAC